rnacentral:rRNA from 1 species
UGAGAAACAAAAGGGCAUUUGGUGGAUGCCUUGGUACCAGGAGGCGAUGAAAGACGUGGCACGCUGCGAUAAGCCAUGGGGAGCUGCGAGCAAGCUUUGAUCCGUGGAUUUCUGAAUGGGGAAACCCCCUCGUAAUGAGGAUCAUGUACUGAAUACAUAGGUACAUGAGGCGAACCCGGGGAACUGAAACAUCUAAGUACCCGGAGGAAAAGACAUCAACCGAGAUUCCGCUAGUAGUGGCGAGCGAACGCGGAAAAGGCCAGUGCCUAGAUAAUGAUAAGCAGAAUGAUCUGGAAAGUUCAGCCAUAGAAGGUGAUAGCCCUGUAUGUGCAUAAUCAUUGUUUAGGCCUUGAGUAGGGCGAGGCACGAGAAACCUUGUCUGAAUAUGGGGGGACCACCCUCCAAGCCUAAAUACUACCUGGUGACCGAUAGUGAACAAGUACCGUGAGGGAAAGGUGAAAAGCACCCCGGAAGGGGAGUGAAAUAGUUCCUGAAACCAUGUGCCUACAAGCAGUCAGAGCCCGUUAAUGGGUGAUGGCGUGCCUCUUGUAGAAUGAACCGGCGAGUUACAGUUGCAUGCAAGGUUAAGCCGAAAAAGCGGAGCCGUAGCGAAAGCGAGUCUUAAUAGGGCGUCUUAGUAUGUUGCCGUAGACCCGAAACCAGGUGAUCUACCCAUGUCCAGGAUGAAAGUGCGGUAAUACGCACCGGAGGUCCGAACCCGUGUACGUUGAAAAGUGCUGGGAUGAGGUGUGGGUAGCGGUGAAAUUCCAAACGAACUUGGAGAUAGCUGGUUCUCUCCGAAAUAGCUUUAGGGCUAGCCUCGGAUUUAGAAUCAUGGAGGUAGAGCCACUGUUUGAGCAAGGGGUCCAUCUAGGAUUACUGAGUUCAGAUAAACUCCGAAUACCAUUGAUUUAUGUCCGGGAGUCAGACGAUGAGUGAUAAGAUCCAUCGUCGAAAGGGGAACAGCCCAGACCGCCAGUUAAGGUCCCUAAAUAUAUGCUAAGUGGAAAAGGAAGUGGAGUUGCAUAGACAACUAGGAUGUUGGCUCAGAAGCAGCCACCAUUUAAAGAGUGCGUAAUAGCUCACUAGUCGAGUGAUUCUGCGCCGAAAAUUUACCGGGGCUAAGCAUAUUACCGAGACUGCGGACGCAACUAUGUUGCGUGAUAGGAGAGCGUUCUAAGGGCAAUGAAGGUAGACCGUAAGGACUACUGGAGCGCUUAGAAGUGAGAAUGCCGGUAUGAGUAGCGAAAGAUCAGUGAGAAUCUGAUCCACCGAAUGACUAAGGUUUCCUGGGGAAGGCUCGUCCACCCAGGGUUAGUCGGGACCUAAGCCGAGGCUGAGAAGCGUAGGCGAUGGAUAACAGGUUGAGAUUCCUGUACUAGUUAAUUAUGUUUGAACGAUGGAGGGACGCAGUAGGCUAAGAUAUGCACACGAUUGGAAAUGUGUGUUCAAAUCGUAAGUCAGUUUAAGAGUUAAAUGCUUUUAAGCGGGUUGACAAGCGAUGAUGAGGAUCGAAAUUUAAGUAGAGAAGUAUCUGACGUCACACUGCCGAGAAAAGCUUCUAGUUAGUAAUUAAUUACCCGUACCGCAAACCGACACAGGUAGUCGAGGAGAGUAUCCUCAGGUGAGCGAGAGAACUAUCGUUAAGGAACUCGGCAAAAUGACCCCGUAACUUCGGAAGAAGGGGUGCUGGCCUCACGGCCAGCCGCAGUGAAAAGACUCAAACGACUGUUUAUCAAAAACACAGGUUUAUGCAAAAUCGUAAGAUGAAGUAUAUGGGCUGACGCCUGCCCGGUGCUGGAAGGUUAAGUGGAAGUGUUAGCUUCGGCGAAGCACCGAAAUGAAGCCCCAGUAAACGGCGGCCGUAACAAUAACGGUCCUAAGGUAGCGAAAUUCCUUGUCGGGUAAGUUCCGACCCGCACGAAAGGCGUAACGAUUUGAGUACUGUCUCAACGAUAGACUCGGUGAAAUUAAGAUACCUGUGAAGAAGCAGGUUACCCGCGACAGGACGGAAAGACCCCAUGGAGCUUUACUGUAGCUUGAUAUUGGGUGUUUACAUAACUUGUACAGGAUAGGUAGGAGCCAUAGAAGCCGGGACGCUAGUCUCGGUGGAGGCGUCAGUGGGAUACUACCCUUGUUAUGUGAACACUCUAACCCUGCGCACUAAUCGUGCGCGGAGACAGUGUCUGGUUGGCAGUUUGACUGGGGCGGUCGCCUCCUAAACAGUAACGGAGGCGCUCAAAGGUUUGCUUAGAAUGGUUGGAAAUCAUUCCUAAAGUGUAAAGGCAAAAGCAAGCUUGACUGCGAGACAAACAGGUCGAGCAGGGACGAAAGUCGGACUUAGUGAUCCGGUGGUACCAUAUGGAAGGGCCAUCGCUCAACGGAUAAAAGCUACCCUGGGGAUAACAGGCUUAUCUCCCCCAAGAGUUCACAUCGACGGGGAGGUUUGGCACCUCGAUGUCGGCUCAUCACAUCC